rnacentral:misc_RNA from 1 species
AACGGUCUAUACCUGCGGUACCUGCGGAGGGAUCAUUAGUGAACGCCCUCGCGGGCUUAUAACUAUUCCAAACCUCUGUGAACCGUGCCCUUCGGGGCUAUUUUACAAACAUGGUGUAAUGAACGUCAUAUAUCAUAACAAAACAAAACUUUUAACAACGGAUCUCU